UUGAACGCUGGCGGCAGGCCUAACACAUGCAAGUCGAACGGUAACAGAAAGCAGCUUGCUGCUUUGCUGACGAGUGGCGGACGGGUGAGUAAUGUCUGGGAAACUGCCUGAUGGAGGGGGAUAACUACUGGAAACGGUAGCUAAUACCGCAUAACGUCGCAAGACCAAAGAGGGGGACCUUCGGGCCUCUUGCCAUCGGAUGUGCCCAGAUGGGAUUAGCUAGUAGGUGGGGUAACGGCUCACCUAGGCGACGAUCCCUAGCUGGUCUGAGAGGAUGACCAGCCACACUGGAACUGAGACACGGUCCAGACUCCUACGGGAGGCAGCAGUGGGGAAUAUUGCACAAUGGGCGCAAGCCUGAUGCAGCCAUGCCGCGUGUAUGAAGAAGGCCUUCGGGUUGUAAAGUACUUUCAGCGGGGAGGAAGGGAGUAAAGUUAAUACCUUGGCUCAUUGACGUUACCCGCAGAAGAAGCACCGGCUAACUCCGUG
rnacentral:rRNA from 1 species